GAAAUGCGAUAAGUAAUGUGAAUUGCAGAAUUCAGUGAAUCAUCGAAUCUUUGAACGCACCUUGCGCUCCUUGGUAUUCCUUGGAGAAUGCCUGUUUGAGUAUCAUGAAAUCUUCAAAGUAAAUCUUUUGUUAACUCAAUUGGUUUCUACUUUGGUAUUGGAGGUCUUUGCAGCUUCACACCUGCUCCUCUUUGUUCAUUAGCUGGAUCUCAGUGUUAUGCUUGGUUCCACUCGGCGUGAUAAGUUAUCUAUCGCUGAGGACACUGUAAAAGGUGGCCAAGGUAAAUGCAGAUGAACCGCUUCUAAUAGUCCAUUGACUUGGACAAUACUUUUAUGAUCUGAUCUCAAAUCAGAUAGGACUACCCGCUGAACUUAAGC
rnacentral:misc_RNA from 1 species